CCAUGAUUAGCUGUGGUCAACAGGAUGAGGCAGAGGGGCAUGGGGACCUCCCAGGCUGGCUCUUGACCUGUAUGCAGCUUCCACUUGCACCAUCGAAUGUCCUGUCUUCUGUUCCAGCUCCAUGCUGAGAUGCCCGUGGUGCACGGGGAGGUCACUCCAUGCUGAGAUGCCCGUGGUGCGUGGGGAGGUCACUCCAUGCUGAGAUGCCCGUGGUGCACGGGGAGGUCGCUCCAUGCUGAGAUACCCGUGGUGCAUGGGGAGGUCACUCUAUGCUGAGAUGCCCGUGGUGCGUGGGGAGGUCACUCUAUACUGAGAUGCCUGUGGUGCGCGGGGAGAUCGCUCCAUGCUGAGAUGCCCAUGGUGCGUGGGGAGGUCACUCUAUGCUGAGAUGUCCAUGGUGCGUUGGGAGGUCGCUCCAUGCUGAGAUGCCUGUGGUGCACGGGGAGGUCACUUUAUGCUGAGAUGCCCGUGGUGCAUGAGGAGGUCCUAUGAGGGGAGGUGGAGAUGCUCCGACUGACAGUCUCAGCUGAUAGCAGGCACCCACCGCGGCCUGGACAUGAGCCUGGAAGACUGGCCAGCCUGGGCCAGUCCCCGGUGACUGCAGACACAGCUAGACUAGGGGAGGCAGAAGGACCACCCAACUCGCCGCACAGACUCAUGACACAGAUGAUAAUGGUUUUAAGACACCAAUUUUGGGGGGGCUGGUAAUAGAUAAAUGAGGCAGGGUGUGUAGCCAUGUUUUCACUUUCAUAGCAUCCCAUCCUCUGGGGGGCCCCCUGCCCCACUUCAGGUAGCUCACAGCUUCCCUCCUUCCCACCCUUUCCACCUCCAUUCUUGUUCAGGUUGGCUCUUGCCCCAGUCUUCCAGGAAUUUGCCUCUGGGACUGAAGGUGUUUGGGCUGAGUCACCUUUCCCUGAAUCACCCUGAGAGUCCAGAGUCUCCCUUCUCAAGGCUGGCGGCUCAGCCCUCUUCUGUAUCACCUGGCAAUAAUGAUCUCCUCUCCCCCUUCCUCCCUUCUUCCAUCUGCUGACAUGAUCCCAGUUCGUUUCUACUGUUUCCAUCAGAGAACGUGGCUGACACGGCAACUGGCAUCGGGAGAAUGUCAUAGGCCAUGUGCCCCAGGAAAUAAGGGCCUUGGAAACAAGUGAUCAGCUGAGAAGGGAAAGGGUCCAGCAUCGCCCGGACUUGCUUGUAUAUUCUAGGGGAUUGGCAGCCCUGUUCCUGAGAGUGAGCUGCUGAUCCGUCUGUUGUGUGCAGUAUCUGAGACCACAGAAGAUGCAGGACUGAAGGGUGGCAUGUUGCUCCUGACAGCAUUGGAAGCUCUGGAGAGAGGGCAGAGGCUGAAGUCUCGGAGGCUCCCCCCGCCCCAGCCACAGGAUGGCGCACAGGGGCCAUGUGCAGCUCCGCUCAAAGUAUCUCAGGUUCCGGGGCAGAAUCCUGGAAAACCCAACUCGGAGCUGAGUCUGCAGGUGGCUGCAGGGCGGUGCUGCUGAGUCUGCAGUUACCACCACAAAAGGAGGGCCUGAAGGCAUUGCCAGGAGACUAUGGAGGACUCACGGAGCUCUGACACCCCUCACCUGGAGGAGGUGGCUUCCCCCCACCCCCCACUCUGCCUGCACCACCUUUGCCUGGGGCGGCCAAUGCAUGGCAGUGGAGUCAGUAAUCGCCCUUGCUCCUCCCCAGGGUCAAACCCACUGGGGUCUGGGGAUUGAAAUUCUGAGAGGAGUGUAGGAGGAGAGUGUCUUCCCGAAGAAAAUGUAGGAAUGCAUUGGCUUCUAUCACAAAAAUCCUGGGAAUGUUCCUGAGAAGGGAUUUUGGAGAUGCUCGGCCUAGGACUGGCCCUCGGGAAGAUGACCCGACCUUUGUCCUGUGCAGCUGAGUGCUGAACACUGGUCAGCUCUGGAUAAAGCCUGAUGUCACCGAGCUGAUGGCGGGGCGUCUGCACUGAACACCUUCCAGCUUGGUGGGGGCACGGGAACCAGCUGUCCUCAUUAAAAGUGACCUGGAGUGAGAUGGAUUCUUCUGCCUAUACCUCCACGUGUGGGCUCCCUGAACACCCCCAUCGCCAUGGGCUCCCAAGAAGUAUUGCUUCUGGCUGCAGGGCUCACUGCAAUGCUGCGACAGGAGGUGACAGGCCAAGGCCAGCAGGUGACUGCUCUCCCCAGAGGCCCUGUCAGCUGGAAGCAGCUGGUUUCACAUAACAGAGACCCCAGGCCCAGGUCCCCUGGAUGCAGGAGGAUUUGCGGCUGCCCUUUUGGAAGAGGGUCUGCUCCUUCCUCCUCGCGGCUCUGGGGGCUGCAUCUCGGAAUCCUGCCGGCCACUCCUCCGCUGCAGGGGUGGACAUGGGAACCAAGUGGGGCCUUUGGGAUGUCUUCAGCCCUCCCACAGCCACUGGCCAGCCUGCCUGCUGUC
rnacentral:lncRNA from 1 species